GAUGAACGCUGGCGGCGUGCCUAAUACAUGCAAGUCGUGCGAACAGACGAGGAGCUUGCUCCUCUGACGUUAGCGGCGGACGGGUGAGUAACACGUGGAUAACCUACCUAUAAGACUGGGAUAACUUCGGGAAACCGGAGCUAAUACCGGAUAAUAUAUUGAACCGCAUGGUUCAAUAGUGAAAGACGGUUUUGCUGUCACUUAUAGAUGGAUCCGCGCCGCAUUAGCUAGUUGGUAAGGUAACGGCUUACCAAGGCAACGAUGCGUAGCCGACCUGAGAGGGUGAUCGGCCACACUGGAACUGAGACACGGUCCAGACACCUACGGGAGGCAGCAGUAGGGAAUCUUCCGCAAUGGGCGAAAGCUUGACGGAGCAACGCCGCGUGAGUGAUGAAGGUCUUCGGAUCGUAAAACUCUGUUAUUAGGGAAGAACAAAUGUGUAAGUAACUAUGCACGUCUUGACGGUACCUAAUCAGAAAGCCACGGCUAACUACGUG
rnacentral:rRNA from 1 species